UCUUUGUAAAACAAAUUGCUUCAACGAAAACCUAAGUCAAUAUCGCCGUUCACAAUCUCACUCUCGCGGCAGCGACGGCGGCGCAUACAACUGGUCCCAUGAUGUUGAAGUUUCGGAGAUGGUACCAGCGAUGCUUGACGGUUCAUCCACAGCUCAUCAGCUCCAGCUUAUGUAGAUGAUGAAGCUGUACAAAGAUUAUGAAGACGAGGUGGAAGAGAAGGAAACGGAGACGACUCGAAAGAGAAGUGGCAAAAAAAAGACAAGCCUAAUGACGCCAGUCCGAUUGGUGAAUCGGCAAAGGAAGAAGAACCCAUUUCGAGCAAUUGGAAUAUGAACUGCCAUCAGAUGGAGGACAGUUAAUUUUCUUAGUACAUCAUAUGGAGUUUACAACUUUAACGAGCUCGGGUUACAAAAAUGUACAUCUUCUUCUCAUGUGGAUGAAUCAGAGAGCUGUGAGACCACAUGUCAAUGUGCUUCUCAUGAAAUACAUGUUUUUGGAGCUAUAGGAAGCGGUGCUAGCAGCGUUGUUCAACGCGUGAUUCAUAUCCCGAAUCAUAGAAUUCUAGCUUUGAAGAGGAUUAAUGUCUUCAAAAGGGAGAAAAGACAACAACUGCUUACAGAGAUACGGAGCACUGCAGGACUUGUGGAUUUUCACAGAACGUUUUAUAGUCCAGACUCGGGACAAAUCAGCAUAGCUCUUGAAUACAUGGAUGGAGGGUCUCUUGCAGAUAUCUUGAAAAUAACAAAGAAGACACCUGAGCUGGUUCUGUCAUCAAUGUUCCAAAAGCUUUUGCAAGGGUUGAGCUACUUGCAAGGAUUAGAAGGCUUACCUCUCUUCCUUGCUUGCAAGAAGGCGCAUAGUGAUAUCUGCAGAGUGAAGAUGGCGAUUGAAAACGCAAUAAAAAGAUCCAGUAUUUGAAGAGGAUUGUUUGCAAGUCAAUAUUCUAUUGGAGUGGCUUGUCAAUUUUUUCUUACGUCAUUGGUGCUAUAUUUUUUGUAUCACAUGUAUAUUAUGUAAAGUUCAUUUUGUUUCUGUUUUGGCUGCAGAAACUCUUUAAGAUGGAGUGAAGGAGCACUACUUGGAUAUGAAUGUCCUUGCGAGUAGUAGAAGCUAUACAUGAAGUUAUAUUAGACACUCAUGGGUCAAUGUCCUUCUGUUUCAGUCUCGCCCACUCAAAGCUAUCAUUAUCUUCUAUGAUCCAGAGUCAGACAUGUUCUGUCGUUAGUCUUAUAUGAGAAGGAGGUCCUUCUCGCUUGGUGUGAUUCACUUAAUCGAGAUCGUUGUGUCUCUUUAGCACUACCAACAAGACAAAACAGUUACAACAAUGUCUUCAUCCUAAUCAUUGGGAGGACUGGUCUCCUACUACAAUAAUCUAAUUGUUGGAUGUCAAUAGGUUUUGCCAAUUAGUCUAAUUAUCAAUAAGACAUUGUUGGGCUAGAAAUGUGUUAAA